rnacentral:rRNA from 1 species
AUGAACGCUGGCGGCGUGCCUAAUACAUGCAAGUCGAGCGAACAGACGAGGAGCUUGCUCCUCUGACGUUAGCGGCGGACGGGUGAGUAACACGUGGAUAACCUACCUAUAAGACUGGGAUAACUUCGGGAAACCGGAGCUAAUACCGGAUAAUAUAUUGAACCGCAUGGUUCAAUAGUGAAAGACGGUUUAGCUGUCACUUAUAGAUGGAUCCGCGCCGCAUUAGCUAGUUGGUAAGGUAACGGCUUACCAAGGCAACGAUGCGUAGCCGACCUGAGGGGGUGAUCGGCCACACUGGAACUGAGACACGGUCCAGACUCCUACGGGAGGCAGCAGUAGGGAAUCUUCCGCAAUGGGCGAAAGCCUGACGGAGCAACGCCGCGUGAGUGAUGAAGGUCUUCGGAUCGUAAAACUCUGUUAUUAGGGAAGAACAAAUGUGUAAGUAACUAUGCACGUCUUGACGGUACCUAAUCAGAAAGCCACGGCUAACUACGUG